GAGACCUCAGGUCAGGCGGGACUACC
rnacentral:rRNA from 1 species